GCGUAAGCGCGCGCAGGCGGUCUUUUAGUCUGAUGUGAAAGCCCACGGCUCAACCGUGGAGGGUCAUUGGAAACUGGAGGACUUGAGUGCAGAAGAGGAGAGUGGAAUUCCACGUGUAGCGGUGAAAUGCGUAGAUAUGUGGAGGAACACCAGUGGCGAAGGCGGCUCUCUGGUCUGUAACUGACGCUGAGGCGCGAAAGCGUGGGGAGCAAAACAGGGAUUAGAUACCCUGGUAGUCCACGCCGUAAAACGAUGAGUGCUAGGUGUUGGGGGGUUCCACCCUCAGUGCUGAAGUUAACACAUUAAGCACUCCGCCUGGGGAGUACGACCGCAAGGUUGAAACUCAAAGGAAUUGACGGGGGCCCGCACAAGCAGUGGAGCAUGUGGUUUAAUUCGAAGCAACGCGAAGAACCUUACCAGGUCUUGACAUCCUCUGACAAUCCUGGAGACAGGACGUUCCCCUUCGGGGGACAGAGUGACAGGUGGUGCAUGGUUGUCGUCAGCUCGUGUCGUGAGAUGUUGGGUUAAGUCCCGCAACGAGCGCAACCCUUGAUCUUAGUUGCCAGCAUUCAGUUGGGCACUCUAAGGUGACUGCCGGUGACAAACCGGAGGAAGGUGGGGAUGACGUCAAAUCAUCAUGCCCCUUAUGACCCUGGGCUACACACGUGCUACAAUGGACGGUACAAAGGGCAGCGACACCGCGAGGUGAAGCAAAUCCCAUAAAGCCGUUCUCAGUUCGGAUUGCAGGCUGCAACUCGCCUGCAUGAAGCCGGAAUUGCUAGUAAUCGCGGAUCAGCAUGCCGCGGUGAAUACGUUCCCGGGCCUUGUACACACCGCCCGUCACACCACGAGAGUUUGUAACACCCGAAGUCGGUGGGGUAACCUUAUGAGC
rnacentral:rRNA from 1 species